rnacentral:rRNA from 1 species
AGCGAACGCUGGCGGCAGGCCUAACACAUGCAAGUCGAACGAAGUCUUCGGACUUAGUGGCGGACGGGUGAGUAACACGUGGGAACGUACCUUUUGGUUCGGAACAACUCAGGGAAACUUGAGCUAAUACCGGAUGAGCCCGUAGGGGGAAAGAUUUAUCGCCGAAAGAGCGGCCCGCGUUAGAUUAGCUAGUUGGUGAGGUAAAGGCUCACCAAGGCUACGAUCUAUAGCUGGUCUGAGAGGAUGAUCAGCCACACUGGGACUGAGACACGGCCCAGACUCCUACGGGAGGCAGCAGUGGGGAAUCUUGCGCAAUGGGCGAAAGCCUGACGCAGCCAUGCCGCGUGAAUGAUGAAGGUCUUAGGAUUGUAAAAUUCUUUUACAGGGACGAUAAUGACGGUACCUGGAGAAAAAGCCCCGGCUAACUUCGUGCCAGCCGCCGCAGUAACAC